rnacentral:sRNA from 1 species
AAUAGAGGAACGAAGGCUAAAACCAUCACGUCCUAUGUUAAUAUCUUCGUGACCAACAUCGUGCCGC